UUGGAGGGCAAGUCUGGUGCCAGCAGCCGCGGUAAUUCCAGCUCCAAUAGCGUAUAUUAAAGUUGUUGCAGUUAAAAAGCUCGUAGUUGAAUUUCGGGAUUAGUACGUCGGUCGUGCCUUAGGUACGUACUGGUGUUACUGGUUCCUACCUUCUGACGAACCAUCAUGUCAUUAAUUUGGUGUGGUGGGGAAUCAGGACUGUUACUUUGAAAAAAUUAGAGUGUUUAAAGCAGGCUCGCGCUUGAAUACAUUAGCAUGGAAUAAUGAAAUAGGACGUUGAUCCUAUUUUGUUGGUUUCUAGGAUUGACGUGAUGAUUAAUAGGGAUAGUUGGGGGCAUUAGUAUUCAAUUGUCAGAGGUGAAAUUCUUGGAUUUAUUGAAGACUAACUACUGCGAAAGCAUUUGCCAAGGAUGUUUUCAUUAAUCAAGAACGAAAGUUAGGGGAUCGGAGACGAUCAGAUACCGUCGUAGUCUUAACCAUAAACUAUGCCGACUAGGGAUCGGAUGAUGUUAUUUUUAAUGACUCAUUCGGCACCUUACGGGAAAC
rnacentral:rRNA from 1 species